AUGAACGCUGGCGGCGUGCCUAAUACCUGCAGGUCGAGCGAACAGACGAGGAGCUUGCUCCUCUGACGUUAGCGGCGGACGGGUGAGUAACACGUGGAUAACCUACCUAUAAGACUGGGAUAACUUCGGGAAACCGGAGCUAAUACCGGAUAAUAUAUUGAACCGCAUGGUUCAAUAGUGAAAGACGGUUUUGCUGUCACUUAUAGAUGGAUCCGCGCCGCAUUAGCUAGUUGGUAAGGUAACGGCUUACCAAGGCAACGAUGCGUAGCCGACCUGAGAGGGUGAUCGGCCACACUGGAACUGAGACACGGUCCAGACUCCUACGGGAGGCAGCAGUAGGGAAUCUUCCGCAAUGGGCGAAAGCUUGACGGAGCAACGCCGCGUGAGUGAUGAAGGUCUUCGGAUCGUAAAACUCUGUUAUUAGGGAAGAACAAAUGUGUAAGUAACUAUGCACGUCUUGACGGUACCUAAUCAGAAAGCCACGGCUAACUACGUG
rnacentral:rRNA from 1 species